rnacentral:rRNA from 1 species
AUUAGAGGAUUAGACCAGAUAUAAAAUUACUUGUUUCCUUAAUUGGAAAACUAGCCAAUCUAAACUGUGAAAAGAUUAGAUGCAGACUAGCGUAGAGGGAACCUUAGGUUUUCAGCUACUCAUUUAAAUAAGUAUUUAAACUAAUGAAAAAUGGCGAACAUUUAAAAGAAUCAGGAUUAAGCCAAAUUAAUUCAUAUGCAGAGUUCAGAUAAGAAUGAGGGCAAGAAAUAAAAGCUCAAAUGAAUCGAUUUAGAGUUAACUAUAAUUAAUAAAUCUCUUUUCACAGUUUGAUUCUUUUAUUUAUGGUAAGAAUAGAAAUUUAUUUGUUAUGAGAUAGUCCAAGUUUACUUUAAUAGGUAAACAAUAAAGAGCGAAAUUCCUUGGCCGUUAAAUGCGGUCCAGCAUGAACGAUCCCAUGAUACAACAGCUGUCUCCGCGAUAGACUCAGUGAAAUUGGAAUAGCUGUGCAGAUACAGUUUACCCAUAGUCAGACGGGAAGACCCUAUGCAGCUUUACUGUAACUAGUUAUUGCUUGCGAUCGGAUUAGGUUGUAGAGUAUAAGGUAGUCGAUUAGACUAGGGAGAUACCCGGUGAAACACCUUUACCUAAUAGGCCGUAAGCUGGUGGAGAUAUCACUCUACCCUUUUCGCUAAUUUUAUAUAAUUGAGAAAAAUAGCAAAAAGUUAUUUGUUUAAUAAAACAUUGACUUAUAUAAAUAUAGAUUGCUAAUUUAGCAAACUUGAAUAAGAUAAAGUAGCAAUUAUUAGUUUUUUAACAUAAUUGUGACAGUGACUAGCUGGCAGUUUUUGUGGGGCGCAAUUCUCAAAAAAAGUAUCUGAGUAAGUCCGAUUAAUUAAAGCCUUCCAUAAUUAUUAGUAAUAAUAAUUAAGCUUAAUUUAAAACAUAAAGGUUUGGUUGAACCCAAUGGAAAUGGGUAGAUGAAUUCUCUAAAAUUUAAACAAGUUAUGACAAAUAUUCCAAUUAGUAAAAGAUGUUUAAAUCAAAAAGAAUUUGGUUGACUACUUUAUAAUUAUAAUAGUCGAUUAAGCAUAAUCUAACUACAAGUGUAAUGGCAUAACCAAGCCUAACUGCGAGACCUACAAGUCGAGCAGACACGUAAGUGGGGCAUAGUGACCAGAUGGUUCAUCAUGGAAUGGCCAUCGUUUAACGAAUAAAGUUACGCUAGGGAUAACAGGCUAAUGGCGCAAGAGAGUCCAUAUUGGCCGCGCAGUUUGGCACCUCGAUGUCGACUCGACCUAUCCUCCCGGUGUAGGUGCUGGGAAGGGUUCGGCUGUUCGCCGAGUAAAAGGUCACGCGAGUUGGGUUAAGUACGUCGUGAGACAGUACGGUCCCUAUCUUCUAUGGGAAAUUAGAGUCGAAAAAGGAUCUGUCCUUUGUACGCAAGGAUUUGGAUGGACUAACCUCUUGUUUACCUGUUGUUUAUUUUAAUAUAAUCUUAUUAUAUUUAGAAUUCUAUUAAAACUAAUU